AUUGAACGCUGGCGGCAGGCCUAACACAUGCAAGUCGAGCGAGCGGCGGACGGGUGAGUAAUGUAUGGGGACUGCCCGAUAGCGGGGGAUAACUACUGGAAACGGUGGCUAAUACCGCAUACUAUCGGAUAACCCAUAUGGGAUUAGCUAGUAGGUGGGGUAAAGGCUCACCUAGGCGACGAUCUCUAGCUGGUCUGAGAGGAUGAUCAGCCACACUGGGACUGAGACACGGCCCAGACUCAUACGGAGGCAGCAGGGGGGAAUAUUGAACAAUGGGCGCAAGGCGGAUGCAGCCAUGCAGCGUGGAUGAAAAAGGACGUCGGGUUGUAAAGUACUUUCAGUCGGGAGUCGUUACCGACAGAAGAAGCACCGGCUAACUCCGUGCCAGCAGCCGCGGUAAUAC
rnacentral:rRNA from 1 species